GAUGAACGCUGGCGGCGCGCCUAACACAUGCAAGUCGAACGAUUAAAGCACCUUCGGGUGUGUAUAAAGUGGCGAACGGCUGAGUAACACGUGGGCAACCUGCCCCUUUCAUUGGGAUAGCCACGGGAAACCGUGGAUAAUACCGAAUACUUCGAGACUUCCGCAUGGAAGACUCGAGAAAGCUCCGGCGGAGAGGGAUGGGCCCGCGGCCUGUUAGCUUGUUGGUGGGGUAACGGCCUACCAAGGCAAUGAUGGGUAGCUGGGUUGAGAGACCGACCAGCCAGAUUGGGACUGAGACACGGCCCAGACUCCUACGGGAGGCAGCAGUGGGGAAUCUUGCACAAUGGGCGAAAGCCUGAUGCAGCGACGCCGCGUGCGGGAUGAAGGCCUUCGGGUUGUAAACCACUUUCAGCAGGGACGAGGAGAAAGUGACAGUACCUGCAGAAGAAGCCCCGGCUAACUACGUG
rnacentral:rRNA from 1 species